CCAGUUCCAUUCGAGUGUUCUGUGGCCCUCCAGAGACAGGCAUCCUGCAAGGCCAGAUUUCAAGACCAAAUUUGCUUGAGUCUGAGAAUGACACACGUGAAGUAACUACACAACAAUGAGCAGGCUUAAGAAAAUAUCAACUUUGGUAGAUGCUAAAUACUGCUUAGGACGAAGUAAGACAUCUUUGACAAGGUCAUUUUGGAAAAGUGGGCAGAUGCAAGAUAAAUAUACAAAAAGCACCAACUUCUCUCCGU
rnacentral:lncRNA from 1 species